UCGAGAUCACGCCACUGCACUCCAGCAUGAGGUGAUAUAGUGAGACCCUGUCUCAAAAAAAAAAAAAGAAUGUGGAAUCUCUAGAGCAUGGCAUUCCUACCACCAUCACCUGUUACCGGUUCUGUCUUUGAAAUACUGAUUAGUCACUGUUCAUAACUUUGUAGGUACUCAAAUCAUUUUAAUUGUAGACGACCUGGUGGAUACGGCGGGAAGGCAGAAAUGAAAAUCUUACAAGGUGGAUGUUUAUGCUGGCUGCCAUUGCAGUAUUUGGUUUCUUCAUGCUGGCUUUUCAGGAGAAAUUCCAAAGGGAGGAGGUGAGCUCAGCUGUCAGUUACUAGCAGCUUCCUGCCUCUUAUUAUUCUAAGACUUAAUGUGGGAAAGUCUCAAUCUUGGCUGUACAUAGACAUCUUUUGAGGAACAUACAAAAAUGUUGAUACCUAUGGUAGAUUAAAGAAAAGUUGAUGCCUAGGCCCCACCCCUAAUAUGUAAUUGGUUUGUGAUGUGGGGUGAGGAUUUUUAAAAGUUCCCCGUGUGAAGCCAAGGGAGAGAACUGCUGCUCAGAGGCUUCACUAUAAAUAUGUUCACCAGAGAAUCCCAUUAUAACACUGAUUAUUUUUGGGGCUAUGACAUCAGUGAACUAAACAUUCAGUUGGAUAAAACUCAGCCAAAGGCCAGAGGUUCUUAACCUUUGUGCUAUACAUGUAGUAACUGGCAUAGCUGUGAAUUGCCCAUGGAGCUGUGGGAAGAAGAUCCUCUUGAGGCUUAUUUGGAACUCUACAGGAAGAAAAGAAAUCAUCAACAUAAGAAAUGUCUCUAUUAAAAAUUAUGUUCGAGAAAUACUGGACUUGAUUUCAACAUUAUGAGGGCAUCUAGCGUCUCUUGGAAGGCAAACUUCAAUUGUCCUUUUCAGACUAGUCUGAAAUCAGUUCAGGGAACCAGGAGAAAUGGUUUGCUUCUUUUCUGCUUGUUUGUUAUGGUCUAUAGCUCAGUUCAUUCCUUGUCACACAGGACAGUCCUGUGUUUUCUUGCCCUCUGACCUGCUCUCCAAACUUCCAGAAUAUGGUUCUUCUCAGGAGUGAAGCUAUCUAGGGUUUGUUAUCACCAGACUCUCCUACCUCUGUCAUUCCCCAGUUCUCUCUGUUGCAGUAACACUGAAACUUAUUUAACCUGUCCAUCACCUGUGCUGAUAUUUUCAAGAGGAAGAGGUGGAGACAGAAGUUGUCCCACCAGCCCCAUCCUUUGAUGCCAGGCUCCUAAGCAGAAGGUACUUACCUUGUUUGAGAAGAGACUUUGGACUAUGAACUUUUGAGUUAAUGUUGGAAUGAGUUAAGACUUUGGGGGACUGUUGAGGAGGAAUAAUUGUAUUUUGCAAU